GAAUAUUGCACAAUGGGCGCAAGCCUGAUGCAGCCAUGCCGCGUGUGUGAAGAAGGCCUUCGGGUUGUAAAGCACUUUCAGUGGUGAGGAAGGGUGUGUUGUUAAUAGCAGCAUACAUUGACGUUAGCCACAGAAGAAGCACCGGCUAACUCCGUGCCAGCAGCCGCGGUAAUACGGAGGGUGCGAGCGUUAAUCGGAAUUACUGGGCGUAAAGCGUACGUAGGCGGCCUGUUAAGCAAGAUGUGAAAUCCCCGGGCUCAACCUGGGAAUGGCAUUUUGAACUGGCAGGCUCGAGUUCUGAAGAGGGUGGUAGAAUUUCCAGUGUAGCGGUGAAAUGCGUAGAUGUUGGAAGGAAUACCGGUGGCGAAGGCGGCCACCUGGUCAGAAACUGACGCUGAGGUACGAAAGCGUGGGGAGCAAACAGG
rnacentral:rRNA from 1 species